AACGAACGCUGGCGGCAGGCCUAACACAUGCAAGUCGAACGCUCUAGCAAUAGGGAGUGGCGCACGGGUGAGUAACAUGUGGGAAUAUGCCUUUUGGUACGGAACAACGUUUGGAAACGAACGCUAAUACCGUAUGGUCCCUCCGGAGUAAAGAUUUAUCGCCAAAAGAUUAGCCCGCACUAGAUUAGCUAGUUGGUAAGGUAAUGGCUUACCAAGGCGACGAUCUAUAGCUGUUCUGAGAGGAAGAUCAGCCACACUGGGACUGAGACACGGCCCAGACUCCUACGGGAGGCAGCAGUUAGGAAUAUUGGACAAUGGGCGCAAGCCUGAUCCAGCCAUGCCGCGUGAGUGAUGAAGGCCUUCGGGUUGUAAAGCUCUUUAGCCGACGAAUAUAAUGACUGUAGUCGGAGAAUAAGCCCCGGCUAACUUCGUGCCAGCCGCCGCGGUAACAC
rnacentral:rRNA from 1 species